CCGUGAGGGAUGACGGCCUUCGGGUUGUAAACCUCUUUCAGCUCCCGACGAAGCGAAAGUGACGGUAGGAGCAGAAGAAGCACCGGCCAACUACGUGC
rnacentral:rRNA from 1 species